UCCAUAUCAGCAAGUCGCUCUUGCUGAUGAAGCUUCAGCUCCUGAAAGCUCCAGUUUUACGCUGUUGAUCCUCAGCUGAGUCAGAUCUGCUGAUCUGAUGACAAAUUAGAAUAAAAUGCUUCUCUUUCUUCUGCUUCUGGGAUGUUUAGUGACAGUUAAAGGUCAAAAUCCAACUACAGAAGCCAGCGAUAUGACAGCAUGGACACCAACAGAGCAAACCGCACCUCCAACACCUACAGAUUCAACAUCUACAGCUGAAACAUCUACAGAUCCAUCUUCAACAACUGCAGCUACACCAUCAGUGACUACAGACACAUCAUCAAUAUCCACAGAGACUCCAUCAAUAACUGCAGCUUCAACGACAACAGAUGCUGCAGUGCAAACCACUGUACAUCCAGCAACCACCUCUCCAACAGUGCCACUUGCAACAACUGACACCACAACCAUACCUUCAACAUCAGUC